rnacentral:rRNA from 1 species
UACAGAGGGUGCAAGCGUUAAUCGGAAUUACUGGGCGUAAAGCGCGCGUAGGUGGUUUGUUAAGUUGGAUGUGGAAGCCCCGGGCUCAACCUGGGAACUGCAUCCAAAACUGGCAAGCUAGAGUAUGGUAGAGGGUGGUGGAAUUUCCUGUGUAGCGGUGAAAUGCGUAGAUAUAGGAAGGAACACCAGUGGCGAAGGCGACCACCUGGACUGAUACUGACACUGAGGUGCGAAAGCGUGGGGAGCAAACAGG